rnacentral:rRNA from 1 species
UACGUAGGGGGCGAGCGUUGUCCGGAUUUAUUGGGCGUAAAAGGCUUGUAGGUGGCCACGUCAAGUCGGAUGUGAAAUCUCCCGGCUCAACUGGGAGGGGUCAUUCGAUACUGGCGGGCUCGAGGCCGGUAGGGGGAAGCGGAAUUCCCGGUGUAGUGGUGGAAUGCGUAGAUAUCCGGAGGAACACCAGCGGCGAAGGCGGCAUCCUGGACUGGUCCUGACGCUCAGGAGCGAAAGCGUGGGGAGCGAUCCGG